rnacentral:lncRNA from 1 species
CCGGCCAUGGGAAGCACGGCUAGAAACUGCGCGCCAAAUCGAAUGGCCUACGAAUCGGCGAUCCUAACCUGAAAAUUUCGCACACAUAAAAAGAACAUCAGCAACAAUAAAAACAGCACUCCGUAUAAGCACUGCACAGUGCAGAGACGCCAUGGAAAUCAACUACUCGCAACCAACAGCAGCAUACGAGCAGGAGCCGAGGGUCGAAGCGAACCGCGCAACAACAGCGCAGCAAGCCGGAGAAAACUGAAGGAAAAAAACUUUCAUUCAAGCCAAGAAAAAAGGCGCCAAACGGAACACCCAAAUCCCGCGGCGGGACGGGGCGCGAGCUCCCCUAAGCUAAGCUCGAGAUCCGGCAAGAGCAGCAGGGGUCGUAACGAUUUCCCUGGCUGCAAAGGCCGGCCAGGCACCGCGGAAGCGCCCAGAAGAAGAGGCCGCGCCGGACCGACAGGCUCGCCGCUGCCGCAUGUUCUCUCGCGCCCCGGGCGUGUCCGACCAAGAACCGUCCCCCCCCAACACACGCGCGGGAGAGAGGAAUGCGGCGGAGGCGAGGAGACCGACCUUUCCGUGAACAGGAGGAGACGGAGGCGGCGGCGGCGGGGGCUCACCGCUGUGCCGCUGGCGCCGAGGAGAGAGGGAAGAGGAGGUGGUUUGUGUUCUGGCGGCUUCGGUCGGGGCGGGGGNUUUGCUCCUCUGUCUCUCACACGGUACAGGCCAGCGCGGAUUUUAAAAGGGAACCAGCUUCGUUUGUAGGGUGGGGUGCCCGCGCGAGUGACCGUUCUGCCCCCGGACUCCCU